rnacentral:rRNA from 1 species
AGAGUUUGAUCCUGGCUCAGGAUGAACGCCGGCGGUGUGCCUAAUACAUGCAAGUCGAACGCGUUGGCCCAACUGAUUGAACGUGCUUGCACGGACUUGACGUUGGUUUACCAGCGAGUGGCGGACGGGUGAGUAACACGUAGGUAACCUGCCCCAAAGCGGGGGAUAACAUUUGGAAACAGAUGCUAAUACCGCAUAACAAUUUGAAUCGCAUGAUUCAAAUUUAAAAGAUGGUUUCGGCUAUCACUUUGGGAUGGACCUGCGGCGCAUUAGCUUGUUGGUAGGGUAACGGCCUACCAAGGCUGUGAUGCGUAGCCGAGUUGAGAGACUGAUCGGCCACAAUGGAACUGAGACACGGUCCAUACUCCUACGGGAGGCAGCAGUAGGGAAUCUUCCACAAUGGGCGCAAGCCUGAUGGAGCAACACCGCGUGAGUGAAGAAGGGUUUCGGCUCGUAAAGCCCUGUUGUUAGAGAAGAACGUGCGUGAGAGCAACUGUUCACGCAGUGACGGUAUCUAACCAGAAAGUCACGGCUAACUACGUGCCAGCAGCCGCGGUAAUACGUAGGUGGCAAGCGUUAUCCGGAUUUAUUGGGCGUAAGGCGAGCGCAGGCGGUUUGAUAAGUCUGAUGUGAAAGCCUUUGGCUUAACCAAAGAAGUGCAUCGGAAACUGUCAGACUUGAGUGCAGAAGAGGACAGUGGAACUCCAUGUGUAGCGGUGGAAUGCGUAGAUAUAUGGAAGAACACCAGUGGCGAAGGCGGCUGUCUGGUCUGCAACUGACGCUGAGGCUCGAAAGCAUGGGUAGCGAACAGGAUUAGAUACCCUGGUAGUCCAUGCCGUAAACGAUGAGUGCUAGGUGUUGGAGGGUUUCCGCCCUUCAGUGCCGCAGCU